rnacentral:tRNA from 1 species
GGGGUUAUUACUCAAGUGGUAGAAUGCAUGCUUAGCAUGCAUGAGGUCCUGGGUUCAAUCCCCAGUACCUCCU